GUUGACCAGGAUGGUCUCGAUCUCUUGACCUCGUGAUCCACCCGCCUUGGCCUCCCAAGGGCUGGGAUUACAGGCGUGAGCCACCACGCCCGGCCCUCCCUCUUUGUUUCUUUUAGUCUUUGUUACUAUUAAAGUCUGUUUUGUCAGAGACGAAAGUUACAACUCCUGUUGUGGUUUUUUUUUUUUUUUUGCUCUCCAUUUGAUUGCUCUGCCCCACUAAGCUCUCUACAUGGCCGAAGCACGAGACCAGAAUGCGCUCUUUCGACAGGCAGAGAGAGCCAAAGGGGAAAAGAGCUGAGGCAAGGCUGCCAAGUUUCUGCUUCCAGCCCUAAAAGCCAGUUACUCACGCCUUGCAAUGAGGAAGCCAGGAGUCCUAUCUAG
rnacentral:lncRNA from 13 species